UACCAGCACCCCGAGUGGUCGGGACGUUUAUUGGGCCUAAAGCAUCCGUAGCCGGUUCUACAAGUCUUCCGUUAAAUCCACCUGCUUAACAGAUGGGCUGCGGAAGAUACUAUAGAGCUAGGAGGCGGGAGAGGCAAGCGGUACUCGAUGGGUAGGGGUAAAAUCCGUUGAUCCAUUGAAGACCACCAGUGGCGAAGGCGGCUUGCCAGAACGCGCUCGACGGUGAGGGAUGAAAGCUGGGGGGAGCAA
rnacentral:rRNA from 1 species